UGUGUGUGUGUGUGUGUGUACAUACAUAUCAUUCAAAAUGUUUAAUCACAUUCACAUCCAUCUUUGGUCCAAAAGCCAGGGCUUUAUUUCAAAAUGAAGAAGAAGAGGGACACAAAAAGCCCAUAAAUCACAUUAACAAAAUUGAAUAUCAGCCAACCAAGAUGCAUGAUCCAACCCAGAAAAAUAUAAUCAAAUGUACAAGUGCAAAAGCGUAGCUCCCAGAGUAAACUAUAGUUAAAAACAAUAGAAGUAUGAUAAUUGCAUGCAACCCCCAAAUAAAUUAAGGAGAUAUAUAAAGAUAGAACUAGAUGUUGAGAGACUGAAAACUAAACAUACAGAGUAUCUGUAGGAA
rnacentral:misc_RNA from 1 species